rnacentral:rRNA from 1 species
AUUGAACGCUGGCGGCAGGCCUAACACAUGCACGUCGAACGAGUGGCGGACGGGUGAGUAAUGUCUGGGACACUGCCUGAUGGAGGGGGAUAACUACUGGAAACGGUAGCUAAUACCGCAUACCAUCGGAUGUGCCCCGAUGGGAUUAGCUUGUUGGUGGGGUAACGGCUCAUCAAGGCGACGAUCCCUAGCUGGUCUGAGAGGAUGACCAGCCACACUGGAACUGAGACACGGUCCGGACUCCUACGGGAGGCAGCAGUGGGGAAGAGUGCACAAUGGGCGCAAGCCGGAUGCAGCCAUGCCGAGUGUAUGAAGAAGGCCUUCGGGUUGUAAAGUACUUUCAGCGGGGAGGCGUUACCCGCAGAAGAAGCACCGGCUAACUCCGUGCCAGCAGCCGCGGUAAUAC